rnacentral:rRNA from 1 species
UUGAACGCUGGCGGCAGGCCUAACACAUGCAAGUCGAACGGUAACAGGAAGAAGCUUGCUUCUUUGCUGACGAGUGGCGGACGGGUGAGUAAUGUCUGGGAAACUGCCUGAUGGAGGGGGAUAACUACUGGAAACGGUAGCUAAUACCGCAUAACGUCGCAAGACCAAAGAGGGGGACCUUCGGGCCUCUUGCCAUCGGAUGUGCCCAGAUGGGAUUAGCUUGUUGGUGGGGUAACGGCUCACCAAGGCGACGAUCCCUAGCUGGUCUGAGAGGAUGACCAGCCACACUGGAACUGAGACACGGUCCAGACUCCUACGGGAGGCAGCAGUGGGGAAUAUUGCACAAUGGGCGCAAGCCUGAUGCAGCCAUGCCGCGUGUAUGAAGAAGGCCUUCGGGUUGUAAAGUACUUUCAGCGGGGAGGAAGGGAGUAAAGUUAAUACCUUUACUCAUUGACGUUACCCGCAGAAGAAGCACCGGCUAACUCCGUGCCAGCAGCCGCGGUAAUACGGAGGGUGCAAGCGUUAAUCGGAAUUACUGGGCGUAAAGCGCACGCAGGCGGUUUGUUAAGUCAGAUGUGAAAUCCCCGGGCUCAACCUGGGAACUGCAUCUGAUACUGGCAAGCUUGAGUCUCGUAGAGGGGGGUAGAAUUCCAGGUGUAGCGGUGAAAUGCGUAGAGAUCUGGAGGAAUACCGGUGGCGAAGGCGGCCCCCUGGACGAAGACUGACGCUCAGGUGCGAAAGCGUGGGGAGCAAACAGGAUUAGAUACCCUGGUAGUCCACGCCGUAAACGAUGUCGACUUGGAGGUUGUGCCCUUGAGGCGUGGCUUCCGGAGCUAACGCGUUAAGUCGACCGCCUGGGGAGUACGGCCGCAAGGUUAAAACUCAAAUGAAUUGACGGGGGCCCGCACAAGCGGUGGAGCAUGUGGUUUAAUUCGAUGCAACGCGAAGAACCUUACCUGGUCUUGACAUCCACAGAACUUUCCAGAGAUGGAUUGGUGCCUUCGGGAACUGUGAGACAGGUGCUGCAUGGCUGUCGUCAGCUCGUGUUGUGAAAUGUUGGGUUAAGUCCCGCAACGAGCGCAACCCUUAUCCUUUGUUGCCAGCGGUCCGGCCGGGAACUCAAAGGAGACUGCCAGUGAUAAACUGGAGGAAGGUGGGGAUGACGUCAAAUCAUCAUGCCCUUUAUGUCCUGGGCUACACACGUACUACAAUGGCUGUAACAGAGGGAAGCGAACCAGUGAUGGUAAGCGAAACCCGAAAAGCAGUCACAGUUCGGAUUGAAGGCUGAAACUCGCCUUCAUGAAGCCGGAAUUGCUAGUAAUGGCAGGUCAGCAUACUGCCGUGAAUACGUUCCCGGGCCUUGUACACACCGCCCGUCACACCAUGAGAGUUGGGAACACCCGAAGUCCGUAGUCUAACCGCAAGGAGGGCGCGGCCGAAGGUGGGCCUGAUAAUUGGGGUG